UACUGCAAGUCGAGCGGACCUCUUCGGAGGUUAGCGGCGGACGGGUGAGUAACACGUGGGCAACCUGCCUGUAAGACUGGGAUAACUCCGGGAAACCGGAGCUAAUACCGGAUAGUAUCUUGAACCGCAUGGUUCAAGUUGGAAAGACGGUUUCGGCUGUCACUUACAGAUGGGCCCGCGGCGCAUUAGCUAGUUGGUGAGGUAAUGGCUCACCAAGGCAACGAUGCGUAGCCGACCUGAGAGGGUGAUCGGCCACACUGGGACUGAGACACGGCCCAGACUCCUACGGGAGGCAGCAGUAGGGAAUCUUCCGCAAUGGACGAAAGUCUGACGGAGCAACGCCGCGUGAGUGAUGAAGGUUUUCGGAUCGUAAAACUCUGUUGUUAGGGAAGAACAAGUGCGAGAGUAACUGCUCGCACCUUGACGGUACCUAACCAGAAAGCCACGGCUAACUACGUGCCAGCAGCCGCGGUAAUACGUAGGUGGCAAGCGUUGUCCGGAAUUAUUGGGCGUAAAGCGCGCGCAGGCGGUUUCUUAAGUCUGAUGUGAAAGCCCCCGGCUCAACCGGGGAGGGUCAUUGGAAACUGGGAAACUUGAGUGCAGAAGAGGAGAGUGGAAUUCCACGUGUAGCGGUGAAAUGCGUAGAGAUGUGGAGGAACACCAGUGGCGAAGGCGACUCUCUGGUCUGUAACUGACGCUGAGGCGCGAAAGCGUGGGGAGCGAACAGGAUUAGAUACCCUGGUAGUCCACGCCGUAAACGAUGAGUGCUAAGUGUUAGAGGGUUUCCGCCCUUUAGUGCUGCAGCUAACGCAUUAAGCACUCCGCCUGGGGAGUACGGUCGCAAGACUGAAACUCAAAGGAAUUGACGGGGGCCCGCACAAGCGGUGGAGCAUGUGGUUUAAUUCGAAGCAACGCGAAGAACCUUACCAGGUCUUGACAUCCUUUGCCCUU
rnacentral:rRNA from 1 species